AUGCCUGGGGCCACCCCGCUGCCCCCUGUCCCCGCAGGAGAAGGGCUCCACGUUCCUGCAGCUGGGCUCCUCGACGGAGCAGCAGCUCCAGGUGAUCUUCGAGGUGCUGGAGGAGUACGACUGGACGUCCUUCGCCGUCGUCACCACGCUGUUCCCCGGCCACGAGGACUUCGUGGACUACGUGGAGGUGCUGACCGACAGCAGCUUCAUCGGCUGGGAGCACCGCGGGGUCCUCACCCUCAACCUGACCGACGACCCCGAGGGGACGCGGCUGCGGCGCCAGCUCCGCGAGCUCAGCGCCCAGAUCCGGCUCCUCUACUGCUCGCGCGAGGAGGCCGAGGCCGUUUUCCGGGCGGCGCGGGAGGCCGGGCUGGCCGGGCCCGGCUACGUCUGGUUCGUGGUGGGCUCCAACCUGGGGGGCAGCGAGGAGCUGCCCGAGGACGUCCCCGCCGGGCUCUUCGCCGUGCUCUCCGCCGGCUGGCGCGACGACCUCCAGCACCGCGUGCGCAAUGGCGUGGCCAUCGUGGCCAAGGGCGCCGAGGCCCUGCUGCGGGACUACGGCUUCAUCCCCGAGUUCAACAACGACUGCCGGGCGCCCAACGCCACCCAGGGCAACGACGACCUCCACCGGUACUUCACCAACAUCACCUGGGGGCACCGCGACUUCUCCUUCAACGCCGACGGCUUCCUGGUCAACCCCUCGCUCGUGGUCAUCGCGCUCACCAAGGAGCGCAGCUGGGAGGUGGUGGGCAGCUGGGAGCGGCGCGUGCUGCGCAUGAAGUACCCGUCCUGGGGGGGCUCCGGGGGGGGGCUCCCGCGGCCGGUGGCCGAUGGCCGGCACCUGGCGGUGGCCACGCUGGAGGAGCGCCCCUUCGUCAUCGUCGAGGGGGUCGACCCCCACACCGGGACCUGCAUCCGCGACUCCGUGCCCUGCCGCCAGCAGCACAACCGCACCCACGGGUAGGGGGGG
rnacentral:lncRNA from 1 species